rnacentral:lncRNA from 1 species
AGAUGGAAAAUCAGGAGCCAGAUAGCACUUUCAAGGAAAACGUAAUUUUAGGCAUCAUAACUAGAAAAAUUAACCAGCUUCCAGAAGCAGAAAGGAAACUACUUGAACAUGGAUCAAUAUAUGUUGAACUUAAUGCUGUUCUCCGUGGCCUAAUAGCAAACAGUCUUUUUCUAUGCAUCUUGAACAUGACACAGGCUCAUAUAGCUGUCGGCUCACCAAUGGCAGAGAACCCAUUUCUGAUAGUACAUGUAUUUUACAGAAGUUUUGUAAAUUUACCUUUGAAUUGAGGUCAUUGGAAUUUGAAACCCAUACCAUAAAAUGAGGUGGAUUGGUUGGUCUUGUUUUUGGUGGUCUUUUCUUGACUAUACCUAUGAAUGGUGGCUUAGAAGCCAGAUAUGAAUCAACUCUGUUAUCAGAGAAAGGAAACAUCUUAAGUUACUGGAUUAGAAUUUCUAAGCCUGACUUUAGAAAGAUGACAUGUUGGUUCCCAUUUUGCUCCAGACUGUGUUUGCAGCAUUCCUUUGGUAUAGACAAUAUACAGUACUUAUAAAAGCCCUUCAGUUACCAGAACCUAGCCUAGAAAU